UUUAAAAAUGGAAAUGUUUCAAACAAAAGUUUUGAAAAAUAUAUGCCGAUAAUAAAAUAUAUUUUAAUAUCAGUAUAUACCAGUAAACUUAUUUCAUGCAUGUGUUCACACCCAUAUAUGAAAAAAAAAAAAAAAAAAAAAAUAAAAAAUAAAAAAUAAAUGUAAAAAAAACAGUCUACAAUUAAUUUUAAAUUUUAAAAUGCCGAAAAAAAUUAAAUAUUACAAAAAAAAAAAAAGGACCAUUUAAACAUGUAACAUUUUGGUUAAAUCCUUUUUGAGGUUUCAAUAAGUUAAUUCUUUACUUUUUUUUAAAUAUUACAUAAUAACAUAAAUUUAAUGAUUAUUUUAAUUUAUUUUUGUUUUCCAUUUUACUAUAAUUUUUUUUUUUUUUUUUUUUUAUUUUCGCUUUUGCACCGUUUUUAUUUAACACUAAUUAAAAUGACGCAUAUAAAUAUAAGACAACAUUUAAAAAAUUGCUAUAUAGCUAUUUUUACAAAAUAAGUAACAAAAAUAAUACAUUCGCCUAUUUACGUUUAAUCUUGUACAUUUUGAAUGAAUUUUAUACGUGACUAGCUUUGGUACAAAUACAGCGUAGCUGGAUGUAAAUGUUCAAAUAUAUUUAUGUAUAGUGCUUUAAAAACACAGAACGUUGUAAAAAUAAAAUUAUAUGUAAAUUAAUAUAUAUAACAUUUAUUUUUAAUAAGCGAAUUAAAAAAAAAAAAAAAAAAAAUUAUUUGUCUUUAACAUCGUAUAUAUAAUGAUUUAUGAUUGGGAAUAAUGCUUUUGUUUCUUAUAAAACUUUAAAAUGAGUUUCUUAUACAAACAUAAUUAAUUACGUACGUUAUUUUUUAUUAUAUUAGUAAAUUAUAUAAUAUUAACAAUAAAUCAUUUAAUUUUUUUUUUUUUUUUUUUUUUAAAAAAAAUGACACAGUAUAUUAUAUUUUAUAAUUUAAUAUUAAAAUGUUUAUUAAUAAAAUGUCAUGUCUUGUUCACUAAAGUGUUACUCAUAUAUAUUAUACAUAUAUUAUUUUGUUGCAAUUAUUUUUGUGCUUACUUUUUUUUUUUUUUUUUUUUUUUUUUUUUUAUUGUUUAAUGAACCAUUUUUUUCUGAUUAUUAUUGAAAUCUUCUAAUAGACUAAUAAAUUCAUUUUUUAUACCCCCA
rnacentral:lncRNA from 1 species